rnacentral:tRNA from 1 species
GGGAAUGUGGCUUAGUGGUAGAGUACUUGCCUGGCAUGCAUGAAGCCCUGGGUUCAAUUCCUCAGUACCA